UUGAACGCUGGCGGCAUGCUUUACACAUGCAAGUCGAACGGCAGCGGGGGCUUCGGCCUGCCGGCGAGUGGCGAACGGGCGAGUAAUACAUCGGAACGUGUCCUUAAGUGGGGAAUAACGCAUCGAAAGAUGUGCUAAUACCGCAUAUCUCUGAGGAGAAAAGCAGGGGAUCGCAAGACCUUGCGCUAAAGGAGCGGCCGAUGUCUGAUUAGCUAGUUGGUGGGGUAAAGGCUUACCAAGGCAACGAUCAGUAGUUGGUCUGAGAGGACGGCCAACCACACUGGGACUGAGACACGGCCCAGACUCCUACGGGAGGCAGCAGUGGGGAAUUUUGGACAAUGGGCGAAAGCCUGAUCCAGCCAUGCCGCGUGAGUGAAGAAGGCCUUCGGGUUGUAAAGCUCUUUUAGUCGGAAAGAAAGAGUUGCAAUGAAUAAUUGUGAUUUAUGACGGUACCGACAGAAAAAGCACCGGCUAACUACGUGC
rnacentral:rRNA from 1 species